CGGUGAAAGUUUGCAGCUUAACUGUAAAAAUGCCGUUGAAACUGUUAGACUUGAGUGUAAAUGAGGUAGGCGGAAUGCGUGGUGUAGCGGUGAAAUGCUUAGAUAUCACGCAGAACUCCGAUUGCGAAGGCAGCUUACCAAGCUACAACUGACACUGAAGCACGAAAGCGUGGGGAUCAAACAGGAUUAGAUACCCUGGUAGUCCACGCAGUAAACGAUGAUUACUAGCUGUUUGCGAUACACAGUAAGCGGCACAGCGAAAGCGUUAAGUAAUCCACCUGGGGAGUACGCCGGCAACGGUGAAACUCAAAGGAAUUGACGGGGGCCCGCACAAGCGGAGGAACAUGUGGUUUAAUUCGAUGAUACGCGAGGAACCUUACCCGGGUUUGAACGCAGAGAGACAGGAGUGGAAACAUUCUUUUCAGCAAUGACUGUCUGCGAGGUGCUGCAUGGUUGUCGUCAGCUCGUGCCGUGAGGUGUCGGCUUAAGUGCCAUAACGAGCGCAACCCUUAU
rnacentral:rRNA from 1 species